rnacentral:rRNA from 1 species
UACAGAGGUGGCAAGCGUUGUUCGGAAUUACUGGGCGUAAAGGGCGCGUAGGCGGCCUGCUAAGUCGAACGUGAAAUCCCCGGGCUCAACCCGGGAACUGCGUCCGAUACUGGUUGGCUUGAAUCCGGGAGAGGGAUGCGGAAUUCCAGGUGUAGCGGUGAAAUGCGUAGAUAUUGGGAAGAACACCGGUGGCGAAGGCGGCCAUCUGGACCGCAACUGACGCUGAGGCGCGAAAGCGUGGGGAGCAAACAGG